ACAGAGGUCUCAAGCGUUGUUCGGAUUCAUUGGGCGUAAAGGGUGCGUAGGUGGCGAUGUAAGUCGGAUGUGAAAUCUCCAAGCUUAACUUGGAAACUGCAUUCGAUACUGCGUUGCUAGAGGAUUGUAGAGGGCAUUGGAAUUCACGGUGUAGCAGUGAAAUGCGUAGAUAUCGUGAGGAAGACCAGUGGCGAAGGCGAAUGCCUGGGCAAUUCCUGACACUGAGGCACGAAGGCCAGGGGAGCAAACGGGAUUAGAUACCCCGGUAGUCCUGGCAGUAAACGGUGCACGUUUGGUGUGGGAGGAUUCGACCCCUUCCGUGCCGGAGCUAACGCGUUAAACGUGCCGCCUGGGGAGUACGGUCGCAAGAUUA
rnacentral:rRNA from 1 species